rnacentral:rRNA from 1 species
GUCCACGCCCUAAACGGUGGGUACUAGGUGUAGGGCUCGUAAGGGUUCUUUGCCGAAGGGAAACCAUUAAGUACCCCGCCUGGGGAGUACGGCCGCAAGGUUGAAACUCAAAGGAAUUGACGGGGGCUCACACAAGCGGUGGAGGAUGUUGCUUAAUUCGAAGCAACGCGAAGAACCUUACCAGGGUUUGACAUGCAGGGAUAACCCCCAUGAAAGUGGGGGAUUGCCUUCGGGUGUAACCUGCACAGGUGUUGCAUGGCUGUCGU